rnacentral:rRNA from 1 species
UACGUAGGGGGCAAGCGUUGUCCGGAUUUAUUGGGCGUAAAGAGCUCGUAGGUGGUUUGGUAAGUCGGAUGUGAAAACUCCAGGCUCAACCUGGAGCCGCCAUUCGAUACUGCUAUGGCUAGAGUCCGGUAGGGGAGUGUGGAAUUCCCGGUGUAGCGGUGAAAUGCGCAGAUAUCGGGAGGAACACCGAUGGCGAAGGCAGCACUCUGGGCCGGUACUGACGCUGAGGAGCGAAAGCGUGGGGAGCGAACAGG